rnacentral:rRNA from 1 species
AUGGACCAUUCCAUCCCUUAUUCCCUUGCCUAUGCAUCGGAUUCGGAUGACGAAGGUCCCGAUGAACAAGUUGAUGAGGAGGGGUUCACGACGAAGGAGGCCGAAGGUUUCGAGAAGAUAUUCGGUCGGGAUCAUCGGACUGCAUUGUUCAAGGAUGUUAGUCUCGCGGAUGAAGCCAUGGUAGAUGGUGGCCAAGGCAUAUCUCUUGGGGUUAGGCCAAGCUCUCAC